rnacentral:lncRNA from 1 species
UUUUUACAGGACUUAUUUAGGACAUAGGCAUGCACUCAGGUUUUGCACAGAUUGUUAAAGAAGUAUUGGCCAGAAUUUUUAAGUGUAAUGAUGAACAGAUAUCCAGUGAAGAAAAGAGAUGAGAGCGGAUCAAGAAUAAGAAAGUACAAUUUCAUCUUCUAGCACAGUAAUAUGUUAGAAAAGCUCAGAAGGCUAUGAUUUAUGUGCUCUUGAAAGCAUGCUUAUUAACAUUUCACCUGACAAGUACUUCCAUGAGCCACACAGCUAAAACUAUUUAAAUCAGCAUGAUUCAAGGCUGCUGUUGAAAGCGGCACCUGAUUUUCAGAUCCACGCACUUGUUUCAUAGUCUGUGCUAGCACUGUUAUGGAAGUGGCUGUGCAGUGAACUGGAUGAGUGAGCUGUUCUGGCUGCUAAAAAAAUCACAUUUUGGUGAAUUUGUUUUCCAGCAUGCUUGGGCAGCACAAGGAGAGGAUAGGUCAAAGUACAUCAGUAAAAACUUGUCAUGAAGCCAAACCUAACCCAGCACACUGGAGAAAAAAGAUUAUUUUUUAGCAGGAUUAGUUUCCUGAUGUAAUUUACAGCUGAGGUACAUGAGUGAUUGAAUUGGCACAGGCAGUAUGAGCAGUUGGGAUCAAGAAUGACAGAACUAACCACGUUAAACUGGAAGAUAUCCAGAUUUAGUCUAGAUAUUAGGAAGAAAUUCUUUACUGUGAGAAUGGUGAGACACUGGAACAGGUUGCCCAGGGAGGUUGUGCAUUCCUCCUCCCUGGAGGCAUUCAAGGCCAGGCUGGAUGGGACUUUAAGCAACCUGGUCUAGUGGGAGAUGUCCCUGCCUAUAGCAGGGGGGUUGGAACUAGGUGAUCUUAUAGGUCCUUCCAACACAAACCAUUCUAUGAUUCUAUGAUUCUAUGAUAAUUCAAAGCCUUAACUUUGCCUUGGCAACAGUGAGAGAGUGGAGGCUUUGCCCAGACCUUGGUGCAGUUUCACAUCAUGCAGAUACCCCAGAGAAGGAAACUCCACAACCACUCUGGGCAGCCUGUUCCAGUGCUCUGCCACCUUCACAGUGCUGUCAGUUGGAACUGGGAGGUAGUUUUGCCUCGCAGCUGAGAAAUCGGGGCGAUGCCCUUGUCAUGUUCAGUAUAAGCAGGUGAGUUUAAGUCAUUUUCAGAACUGAGUAUUCAGGCAAAAACUUCUCACACAGGCAGUGAAGCUGAGACAUGACCUAAUAAGCAGUCACCAAUUGCCUCUGAGAUAUGUUGAUGACAAGAGAGAAUCUGGUCUCCAUGAUUCCGUUAGAAUUCCAGGACUGAUAUUCUUCAUUUCUUUAUCUUCCUAAAACUGAAUGUAAAAUAGUAGGUGCUUUAGGCAAAACAAGCAGAGAAAACAAAUGUGUUUUGUUGUUGUUGUUGCCUUUUCCAUUUCGAUUCAAUCAUUAAAUUGUCCUGAUUAAAUUGGCAUAAAUGCUGCCAUGCUUGUAAGAGGAGUCUUGCAUGAAGUUAGCAACUUUAUCUUCUCUUGGGAUGCUGUGCAGUAAGUGCUUCAGAGAUUUUAGAUAAAACAGGAUUAUCCACUAGAGUCCAGUGCUAU